GGCUGAUCUGCGGAAGAUCAUUGAAAGAUUCAUGAAUGAAUAGAUUACUGGGGGAUCGUCUGACAAGGCCUGCGCUUAAUUGCGCGGCCAGUUCUUGAUUCUCUGCUAUCAGUUUUCUAUUUCUCAUCCUAAACACAAUGGAGUUUUUUCUCUAUGAACUACUUCCCUGGAGAGCUCGUCUCUCCAGUGGACAUAAACACAAACAAUAUUUUGUAUUAUGAAAAACUAUUAUACUAUAAAAUUUAAUAUUCAAAACUUUCAACAACGGAUCUCUUGGUUCUCGCAUCGAUGAAGAACGCAGCGAAUUGCGAUAUGUAUUGUGAAUUGCAGAUUUUCGUGAAUCAUCAAAUCUUUGAACGCACAUUGCGCCCUCUGGUAUUCCAGGGGGCAUGCCUGUUUGAGCGUCAUUUCUCUCUCAAACCUUUGGGUUUGGUAGUGAGUGAUACUCGUCUCGGGUUAACUUGAAAGUGGCUAGCCGUUGCCAUCUGCGUGAGCAGGGCUGCGUGUCAAGUCUAUGGACUCGACUCUUGCACAUCUACGUCUUAGGUUUGCGCCAAUUCGUGGUAAGCUUGGGUCAUAGAGACUCAUAGGUGUUAUAAAGACUCGCUGGUGUUUGUCUCCUUGAGGCAUACGGCUUUAACCAAAACUCUCAAAGUUGACCUCAAAUCAUGUAGAGCUCCCCGCCGGU
rnacentral:rRNA from 1 species